UGAUACGCUUUUGCUCCAGAGCAUCUUGUUCACAACAAGUGAAACACCCUAUAAUUCAUGCUUGGACUGAAGGCUUUGAGUAAGUAUGGCAAGGAAGGCUGUCUGACCACCAUCUUCAAGUUGACUUUGCUGGCUUCCCUCAGUGAAAGGAAAAAAGUGCUCCUGAGCAACAGUUCCACGUACAUCGUCACAGCUACCAGGACAGAUGCAUCGUGUUCUGUUACAAAUAAACCAGCGAUCCCUAAAGAAAUGAUGGUCCCAUCAGACCAAACGAGGAUAUUAGUAAAGGUUAAAGGAGAUAUUGCAUCACUGAAACUGGUAAAGUUCCCAGAGAUUGAAAAAGGGAAACAUAACUUGCAUUUUUAAAAAGUGUUAAAAAGGAAGACCCAGGGACCCAGUCAGUCUCACCACAGUCCCUGGCAAGAUAGUGGAGCAAAUCCUCCUGAAAACUAUGUUGAGGUGUAUGGAGGACAGGGAAGUGACUGGUGACAGCUAACUGGCUUCACUAGGGGCAAAUUAUGGUUGCCUGAUUUGGUGGCCUUCCAAUGGGGUUACAGCAUUUGUGGAUAGGGGAAGAAUGACUGACAUUAAUCCACUUGUCCUCAUGCAAAGCAUUUGAUACUGUCCCAUACUACUUCCUUGUGUCUGCACUGGGGAGACAUUGAUUUAAUGGGUGAAACAUUUGGUGGAUAAGGAAUUGGCUGGGUGUUUCACUCAGAGAAAUACAGCCAACAUCUUGAUGUCCACGUGGUGACCAGUGAUGACUUGGGUCCCUCUGCGAUCUGUACUGAGAUGAGUAUUAUUUAACAUCUUCGACAACAUGGACACUGGAAUUGAGUGCACCAUCUACAAGUUUACUUGCCAAGCUCGACUGAUGCUCUAAGUGCAGUUGAUAUUCUAGAAAUAGGAAUGCCAUCCAGAGGGAUAUUUACAAGCUUGAGAAAUGGACCAGCUUGAGUUUUAUGAAGCUCAAUAUAGCCAGGUGUUAAAUCCUGCACCUGAGUUAGGUCAAUCCCAAACAUGGAUACAGUCUGGAUGAUAAACAGACUGAGAGCAGCCCUGCAGAGGUGGACUUGAGUGUGGUGAUAGAUGAGAAGCUCAGCAUGAAGCAGCAAUGUGCACUUGCAACCCAGAGAGUCAGCCGUGUCCUGGGCUGCAGCCAAAGCAGUGUGCCCAGCAGGGCAAGGGAGGGGAUUCUGCCCUCAGUUCUGAUCUCAUGAGAUCCCCACCUGCAGUGCUGCAUCCAGCUAUAGGACUUCUAUGGGAGCAAGUCCAGAGGGCCAUGAACAUGAUCAGAGGGCUGGACCAAAUCUACAAAGACAUGCUGAGACAGUUCAGGUUUUGGGACCAUUCUUGUUCUUUAAAAUGUGCUUGACAGGUUUUGCAGGUUUAAUGAAAGUAUUGUCAUGAAGCUGUUCUGCAAUGUGAGUUCACUGGAUGCAAUGCCAGGUAGCCCAAAGGUCUCCACAGAAUACUGUGCAGGUCAGCUAGUGCUAGCUGGUAACAACUAGUGCUUAAUUUGCCACUCUCUGUUUUAAUAUCAAAUCAUGGCCUUUCCUCUCAAAUACUAAAAUAAUUCAUUUUAUACUCUGAGGAAAAUGAAAUAACGUCUCUCCUAAUUAUUUCAUUACUGAUUUCACAUCUGUGGCCAAGCACUUUCCUAGCACAUAAAUUCAAUACUAACUGUAACACAAAAAUUACUGGAAAAUAUUAGACAUUAAGGCUGCACAGGUCACCCCUGACUUGUGGACCAAUAUGCUGGUGGAGAGGUUUUGCCUGCCCAGUGGAAGUUUCUCAGCUCCUCUGUGCAUUCAAGGCCAAUGGAGACAGAUCAUGAAGACUAUAAAUCAUCAUCUAAUCCCUCUCCUCUCUUGUUUUCUCACGUCUCCACCAAAACCUCCACUAUAUAAAAAUGGAAAUACUUGGGAGAAACCUCAUUGACUAUUUAAAUCUGAUGUGCUUUGGUGGUUGUCCUAAAAUCUCUCCUACCUGUCUCUAGCCAUCUUCAUCCUUCAGUCAUUUCAUAUCAUCAUUUCCUCUAUUUCCACAGGAAUGAAAGAGUAAACAUGCAUAAUUUAAAACAUAAAGGAAAACAAUCUAAUUAAAUUUGUGUAUUGGCAGAACAAUGUAAUCAGAGUAUUCCCACUUUUAACUGAUUUUGCUUUGUCUACCUCUGUCUUUUGGUCAUGAUUUGGCUUUUUUUAGAUCUUUAUGUCAAAAUGAGUCUUUUUACUGCUAUGAAAGGACUGUGGCUGAGUAUUACUGCAGUAACUGUACUAAUCCUAGUAGAGAUUUUUAUUCCAGUGACUCCAGAUAUUAAUUUCUUGGAAGCUAAGGGCAUUUAAACUAGCUGUGAGUUAACAGCAGGCUCCAUAGCAGCCUGUUGGCCCCCAAGUCAAGCUCAGCUGAUAAGCAAUUCCCUUUACACCCAGCAGCUGGUAAUGGAUGACAUAAACCAGAUGCUAAGAUAACAAUUUAAACAUUAGUGACCCCAGCAGGGCUUCCUCCAAUGUAAAUUUAUACUGUCUUUUGGUAUGUAAAAAGCAUUUUGUAAUUCCUUUCUGUUCUGAACUAUUUUAGUUUUAGUUUUAGUGCUGUAUUUUGGCCUAUAUUAAUGCUGUCAUUUGUAUCAUCCCACAGUCUUACAUAAUCCUCUUCAAAGAGAAAUGGUUAAAUGCUUCUUAGUCCCAUUUUCAAUUGAAUUUAAAAUUCUAUUAUUAUCAUUAUCAGUAUUACCAUUAUCAUUAUUAUUAACUAUAUUUAUCUUUAUCUUUAUCUUUAUCUUUAUCUUUAUCUUUAUCUUUAUCUUUAUCUUUAUCUUUAUCUUUAUCUUUAUCUUUAUCUUUAUCUUUAUCUUUAUCUUUAUCUUUAU
ensembl:lncRNA